GCCCCUGCUCUCCGCAGGUGGGGAGAGUCGAUGGGAUAAAAACAGCCUCCGGCACCCAAAAUCGGAAAGGGGGGGGAGAAAACCACGAGUGCCUCCCGGCUCAUUUUAGGGGUCUGGAUGGACAGCCCCGGCAGCUACAUAGGCAAACGAUGGCAGGGGGAGACAAGUGGAAAUAUACACGACACACAAUGACCAGGCGAAAAUCACAUCACAAUAGUGCACAGAGAGUGACUGAGGCCUUUUCAGCGGGAGAAAAAAAAUUAGGGAAGAGUGGAAAAUGGGAGGCGAUAAGAAGAAAACCUGCCUUUGUUCUCUCUGGUUAUUUUCUACUAAUUAUUCUGCCCAUUGUGACAAAGUAGCAGUUAAGGAUAGAUUAGUGUAAAUAACCUCGCAUUUCACUCCCGAACCGCGCAACUUUCUGGCCCAAGCCGUGCCAUGGUGUUUGUGUUUCUCCCCUUCACCUCAAACAGAAACUCGUUGAGAUUUCAGAUCUUUGAACUUUGGACAGAUCAAACUGCCAGCGCUCACCUUUGUCUCCACUCAUUAGGAUUUAAAACAUAUGUGGCCUCAUGACGGGAUCCAUUUGUCUCUAUGAGGGGAAAAAAAAUGCAGUCUUCUCUCUUCCCCCCACCCCAAAACUCCUACAUUUAGCUGAAUUCAUUGAAACGAUCAUUUCCCGGAAUGGCGCCUCUGCUGCGGGAGCACUGCUCGGAUGGGGUUUGCCCAGCCGGGUUGUUUUAGGGGAAGCUCCUCGCCGGUUUCCGUCGUUCUUUUGUCACUCCCGAUUUAUUAUUGGCAAUCUAAUUUUCCUAUCAAAGGCUCCUACAUCUGCUCGUUAUUCCAAGAGGGAGCUACCGGGAGA